UACGGAGGGUGCAAGCGUUGUCCGGAAUCACUGGGUGUAAAGGGUGUGUAGGCGGGGCAGUAAGUCAGUGGUGAAAGCCUACGGCUUAACCGUAGAAUUGCCUUUGAUACUGCUGUUCUUGAAUACUGGAGAGGUCGCUGGAAUUCGUGGUGUAGCGGUGAAAUGCGUAGAUAUCACGAGGAACACCAGAGGUGUAGACGGGCGACUGGACAGUUAUUGACGCUGAGGCACGAAAGCGUGGGGAGCAAACAGG
rnacentral:rRNA from 1 species